rnacentral:tRNA from 1 species
UUAAUUGAAACCAAAAUAGAGGUAUAUCACUGUUAAUGAUAUCAUUGGGAAAUCCCCGGUUAAA